rnacentral:rRNA from 1 species
GAUGAACGCUGGCGGCGUGCCUAAUACAUGCAAGUCGAGCGAACGGGUAAGGAGCUUGCUCCUUUGAAGUUAGCGGCGGACGGGUGAGUAACACGUGGGUAACCUACCUAUAAGACUGGAAUAACUUCGGGAAACCGGAGCUAAUGCCGGAUAACAUUUGGAACCGCAUGGUUCUAAAGUAAAAGAUGGUUUUGCUAUCACUUAUAGAUGGACCCGCGCCGUAUUAGCUAGUUGGUAAGGUAACGGCUUACCAAGGCAACGAUACGUAGCCGACCUGAGAGGGUGAUCGGCCACACUGGAACUGAGACACGGUCCAGACUCCUACGGGAGGCAGCAGUAGGGAAUCUUCCGCAAUGGACGAAAGUCUGACGGAGCAACGCCGCGUGAGUGAUGAAGGUUUUCGGAUCGUAAAACUCUGUUAUUAGGGAAGAACAA